rnacentral:misc_RNA from 1 species
UUAAGUUCAGCGGGUAGUCCUACCUGAUUUGAGGUCAGAUUUCAAAGUGAGUUGACCGCCACUCCAAAGGCGAGUCGUGGGAGGACGCCAAAGGGGAACUUCUCGGUGAGAGCGAGGAUGUUACAACGCCCAGUCGAGUUCGACCCACAGGUCCAACCGAUGCAUUUGAAGGGAGCCGCUUUGCAGCGGCAAGCCCCCAG